rnacentral:rRNA from 1 species
GAGUUUGAUCCUGGCUCAGGAUGAACGCUGACAGAAUGCUUAACACAUGCAAGUCUUUGGCGAAGCUGUGCUUGCACAGCCUAGCCAAGGCGGACGGGUGAGUAACGCGUAAGGGACUUGCCCUGCAGUCAGGGAUAACAGACGGAAACGACUGAUAAAACCUGAUAAAGUCAGGCGGACUCAUGUCCAGCCUGAUGAAAAGGAAUGCUGCAGGAGAGCCUUGCGUCCUAUUAGCUUGUUGGUGGGGUAACGGCCCACCAAGGCGAUGAUAGGUAGCCGGCCUGAGAGGGUGGACGGCCACAAGGGGACUGAGAUACGGCCCUUACUCCUACGGGAGGCAGCAGUGGGGAAUAUUGGACAAUGGGGGCAACCCUGAUCCAGCAAUUCUGUGUGCACGAAGAAGGUUUUCGGAUUGUAAAGUGCUUUCAGCAGGGAAGAAGAAAGUGACGGUACCUGCAGAAGAAGCGACGGCUAAAUACGUGCCAGCAGCCGCGGUAAUACGUAUGUCGCAAGCGUUAUCCGGAAUUAUUGGGCAUAAAGGGCAUCUAGGCGGCCAGACAAGUCUGGGGUGAAAACUUGCGGCUCAACCGCAAGCCUGCCCUGGAAACUGUGUGGCUAGAGUGCUGGAGAGGUGGACGGAACUGCACGAGUAGAGGUGAAAUUCGUAGAUAUGUGCAGGAAUGCCGAUGAUGAAGAUAGUUCACUGGACGGUAACUGACGCUGAAGUGCGAAAGCUAGGGGAGCAAACAGGAUUAGAUACCCUGGUAGUCCUAGCUGUAAACGAUGAUUACUGGGUGUGGGCAUGAAGAGUGUCCGUGCCGAAGCUAAUGCGAUAAGUAAUCCGCCUGGGGAGUACGGCCGCAAGGCUGAAACUCAAAGGAAUUGACGGGGACCCGCACAAGCGGUGGA